rnacentral:rRNA from 1 species
CCUGAACGCUGGCGGCGUGGCUAAGACAUGCAAGUCGUACGGACGUAGCAAUACGUCAGUGGCGAACGGGUGAGUAAUGUAUCGCUAACGUGCCCCCGAGUCAGGGAUAGCUGCCCGAAA